ACCAUAGUGACAGUGACUGAAUAUAAAAAUGGCGACAUUACAACACGCGAGUAAUCAGUUUUGCCAAGUUCGUGGUUUUAUCUUCCAACGGAAAAGUAGAAAUCUUCGGGUGGGGGGCGCGUGAUUGGGAUAGUUUUAAAUAGAAUGGGAAUGGGUGAUUUGCAGACCUGGAAAACCCCGGCAAAUCAAAUCUACCGAAGCAUUUGAAUCCAAACUGUGGACUGACGGAGGAAGUUAAAGAUCCACUUUUGGAAACCAGUGCAAGAUCUGCUCAAGGGUCAGCCGUUCAGUUGGAUCAUGGGACAAUGAGAUCACGGCAUUCUGUUUUCAGAAGAGAGCUGAUAAAUCUGCAUGAUUUCCAUUAUGUUGUGAAAUGGAGAACACUUUCACCAUCUCAUACAACAGCACUCCUAGAGCCC